rnacentral:rRNA from 1 species
CCUACGGGAGGCAGCAGUGGGGAAUAUUGCACAAUGGGGGGAACCCUGAUGCAGCGACGCCGCGUGAGUGAAGAAGUAUUUCGGUAUGUAAAGCUCUAUCAGCAGGAACGAGACAAGACGGUACCUGACUAAGAAGCCCCGGCUAACUACGUGCCAGCAGCCGCGGUAAUACGUAGGGGGCAAGCGUUAUCCGGAAUCACUGGGGGGAAAGGGAGCGUAGACGGCUGAGCAAGCCUGAAGUGAAAGGCGGGGGCCCAACCCCCGGACUGCUUUGGGAACUGUACGGCUGGAGUGCAGGAGAGGUAAGUGGAAUUCCUAGUGUAGCGGUGAAAUGCGUAGAUAUUAGGAGGAACACCAGUGGCGAAGGCGGCUUACUGGACUGUAACUGACGUUGAGGCUCGAAAGCGUGGGGAGCAAACAGGAUUAGAUACCCCAGUAGUC